AUACUUAGUACGGCGAGUGAGCGGUAAAAGCUCAAAUUUGAAAUCUGGUACUUUCAGUGCCCGAGUUGUAAUUUGUAGAAUUUGUCUUUGAUUAGGUCCUUGUCUAUGUUCCUUGGAACAGGACGUCAUAGAGGGUGAGAAUCCCGUUUGGCGAGGAUACCUUUUCUCUGUAAGACUUUUUCGAAGAGUCGAGUUGUUUGGGAAUGCAGCUCAAAGUGGGUGGUAAAUUCCAUCUAAAGCUAAAUAUUGGCGAGAGACCGAUAGCGAACAAGUACAGUGAUGGAAAGAUGAAAAGAACUUUGAAAAGAGAGUGAAAAAGUACGUGAAAUUGUUGAAAGGGAAGGGCAUUUGAUCAGACAUGGUGUUUUUUGCAUGCACUCGCCUCUCGUGGGCUUGGGCCUCUCAAAAAUUUCACUGGGCCAACAUCAAUUCUGGCAGCAGGAUAAAUCAUUAAGAAUGUAGCUACUUCGGUAGUGUUAUAGCUUUUUGGAAUACUGUUAGCCGGGAUUGAGGACUGCGCUUCGGCAAGGAUGUUGGCAUAAUGGUUAAAUGCCGCCCGUCUU
rnacentral:rRNA from 1 species